GCUGUGGUUGAUGAUGCAUAAUCUUUUUUCCCCAUCUUAUCGACUAUGAUGAAAACCAUCUGAAAUUAAGCCAAAUAUGACUGAAACCACAUC
ensembl:snoRNA Small nucleolar SNORD12/SNORD106